rnacentral:tRNA from 1 species
GGCCGGUUGGAGUAGCUGGUUAUCUCGUAUCGUUAACAAACGCCUGUUUCAUACAGGAUGAUUACCGAUAAGGUCGCCGGAUCGAGCCCGGCACUGGUCA